GAAUAUUGCACAAUGGGGGAAACCCUGAUGCAGCAACGCCGCGUGAAGGAAGAAGGUCUUCGGAUUGUAAACUUCUUUGAUGAGGGACGAAAAAAAUGACGGUACCUCAAAAACAAGCCACGGCUAACUACGUGCCAGCAGCCGCGGUAAUACGUAGGUGGCGAGCGUUGUCCGGAAUUAUUGGGCGUAAAGGGCGCGUAGGCGGUUUCUUAAGUCAGAUGUGAAAACCCGGGGCUCAACUCCGGGCAUGCAUUUGAAACUGGGGAACUAGAGUGCAGGAGAGGUAAGUGGAAUUCCUAGUGUAGCGGUGAAAUGCGUAGAGAUUAGGAGGAACACCAGUGGCGAAGGCGGCUUACUGGACUGUAACUGACGCUGAGGCGCGAAAGCGUGGGGAGCAAA
rnacentral:rRNA from 1 species